rnacentral:lncRNA from 1 species
CAACCCUCCCGCGCAGGCCAUAAGAGGCAAAUGAACCUUUGUUGGUUGGCGGGAAAUCGAGACCCUGGCAAGGGGGCUUCUCCCUUGGAGAAGCCUGAGAACUGCCAGGUCCGCGGCCGUUAACCCGCCUCUAGGGACGGCCGCACUGCGCAUGUCUGAAAGGGAACUAGAAAGGGAGGAGCGAGAGAGGGUGGGGCUGAGGAGGAGGCUGUGUGAGAAAAGGGGCGGGGCGCGCCCAAAGUCUGGCGGAAGAGCGUUACCCUGGCAACCCUCCCGCGGAGGCCGAGAGAGGCCACCGGCCCUUUGUUGAUCUGCGAGAAAUCAAACUACGAACACGACAAGCAUUAGCCUGCAGCUCGAGGAGACAAGGAAUAAAUCCAACUUGAUCAUAACAUCCAACUGUGUUGCCCAGGCUAGUCUCAAACUCCUGGAUUCAAGAGCCCCUCUCCUCUCAGCCUACGAAAGUGCUGGGAUUAAAGUCCUGAACUGACAGCCACAAGUGGCACCUGAACAGGGACUUGAACAAAGAAGGUCUGCUGGAGCAGAAAAAGUGAAACUGACCAGAUGAAUGAGAAACCCUGGGAUGAGUCUGCCUGCAGAGGAUAUAAGGAGAUGGAUAAACCGUGUGAGUGCCCUCAAGUUGUGUGCGACCAUGGAAUGGGAGACUGGAGGGAUACAUGGAUCCCAACUACAGGCCCAGCUCCUCCAGUAUGAGCCAUGAGCCAGUUGAAUCUGAAUGUGAAGAUGGAAUGAAGACCGACGAGAGUCACACUGACGUCAACCCUCAUAACAUGGGUCUGUAAAAUCAACUGGAACACCAACCAGCAAUUGAGAGCUGAACAGCCUGCAAUUACCUUUAUUCAAUUAAAUCAAAAGCAGAAAGGGGGAGAUGUUGGAGGCUGAAAGAAUGAGGGUCAUGACCAACUCAGUAUACCACUGGAGGCUAUGUGAGCAAACAGCAAACUGUUCUCAUGAAUACAGGAUAUUGGCAAGCUGACAGCUGCAUCUGCCACCAGAAGGAAUGCUGAGGACAGUCAUGCAUCAGGCACAGUGUUCCUUGUAGUUAUCUAUAGGAACAUCUGGACCCUGUUGUAUAAAGAAAGCAAUUAUUUGAGCCUGUGAUAAAUCAAGCAGCUGACUAAAACUGUUACCUCUUCCUCCCUGUUGAUUCUACCUAAUACAUGUGAAGGGCUGUAUAAGCUCAGGGCCCUUGUUCCCUAGAAGCAAGGAGCCCCCUGACCCCUUCUUUACAACAAAUCUUUUUGUUUUUGUCUUCAUUUCUGCAUUCAUCCUCCUUCGUUCAGUCCCGAACCGACAGCCACAUGAUCUGGCAAUCCCAUUUCUGGAUAUCUAUAUAAAUGUUCAAAGCAGGACCUGAAAGAAACAUUUCACACCCCUGUUUAUAAGAGAUUUAUUCUAAAAAUCCAAAAGGUAGAAGCUACUUGAAUGUCCCUUGACAGAUAAA